rnacentral:rRNA from 1 species
GAUGAACGCUAGCGGCAGGCUUAACACAUGCAAGUCGAGGGGCAGCACGGGUAGCAAUACCUGGUGGCGACCGGCGCAAGGGUGCGUAACGCGUGAGCAACAUGCCCUAUACAGGGGGAUAAUCCAGGGAAACUUGGUCUAAUAUCCCAUAGUAUUUAGAGGAGGCAUCUUCUAUAAAUUAAAGCUUCGGUGGUAUAGGAUUGGCUCGCGUGACAUUAGCUAGAUGGUGAGGUAACGGCUCACCAUGGCAAUGAUGUCUAGGGGUUCUGAGAGGAAGGCCCCCCACACUGGGACUGAGACACGGCCCAGACUCCUACGGGAGGCAGCAGUGAGGAAUAUUGGACAAUGGAUGGAAAUCUGAUCCAGCCAUGCCGCGUGCAGGAAGACAGCCCUAGGGUUGUAAACUGCUUUUUAAUGGGAAGCAAUAAGGUCUACGUGUAGACUGAAUGAGAGUACCAUAGAAUAAGCU